GGGAGCUGCAGCCGCUCCCGCUCCGCUCACACCGCUUUCCUCCCUCAGAACCGCAGGCCUCUCACCACCGGUGGUUUAUUCUCCCCAGAGCGCCGUGAUAGUUUUAGGGCGUUCUGACAAAGAUUGCACUGGAAGUGGUUUUCGUGGAAUAUAAAAAGAAACCGCUCCUCGGGAAACGCCAGAAUUGUGUAGCUGAUGGAUUAAUUUCCUCUACAGCUAACACGGCUACAGGAAGGAUUUGGCUCUGCACGUGCCUGCUGCUGGGCUGCUGAUACCACAGUGACUGCAUAGGGUGCAUCCAGACAGAUAGCCACCACCACCACCUCACUUGUAUUUAAAAAUUACAUUUCCAUUGAUUCCUGUAGUAAUAAUAACUACAACCUCAUAAUACAAAUUAUAUCUUAGAAAUUGGGAAAUCCUUGCUCUGUAGACAGUGUUGAUAGAAGAUUGCAAGGAUUCAUCAUUCAACCUAUAUUAAACCUACACAGCGCUGAUAUUUUCUUUUUUUUAAAAAUCAAACAACACAGUGCUUUUAAGAGUAGCAGUCUGUUUCUGUUCACCAAACAAAGGUCAGUAACUCCCAGAUCUACCCUUGGCACUAUCAGUGAUUUCGCUGUCUGUCCGUAUCAACUAUUUUUGUCUGAUGCUGGUCAUAUUGACCCUGGUGUCAAUGAACCAGCCCCAGCUGAGUGAAGCACAGAGCAGAACAAAACCUCCAGCUGCUCCCACCCAGCAGCUCUGGCUGCAGACUGAUGAUGUUCCCUGAAAAUCAGGAUUACCUGGCUAAGAAGCUGGCUUGGGGUAAUUGCAAACAAGCCAAUACUCAGAGGCUGGUGCUGUCUCCUGCUUGUAAGGAGGACGACAAGGGGGGAUUAAGUAUCAGUAGAAGCUGUGGUGGCAUGGUGGGACCUUGCACUGUCAGAGUAAUUGUCUGCUGUAUUGCCAACACCUGCAACCCCCGGCAAUCAUGCAAGAGCCUGCUUCUUGCUAGGAAGUUUACAAGUUAAUUAGAAAAGACAACAAGAGGCAUAAAAGAACCUUACAAUUUACUUAGUAGAGCUUAUGCCUAUCCCCUUUCCAAAUUUAUUGGUGAGUUCAGAGCAUUUCAGAGAUUGUCAGCUACUUUUGGAGAAGAGAAGGCUCUGGGGAGACCUGAUAGCAGCAGCUUUUCAGUAUCCAAAGAGGGGCUGUAAGAAGGGGAGAGACUCUUUAGCAGGGUCUGUGGUGAUAGCACCAGGGAAAUGGCGUCAAGCUAAAAGAGGGGAGACUGAAUGGACUGAAUAUAAUGAAUUUUUUUUUUACAAUAAGGGUAGUGAAGCACUGAGGUAGUGGAUACCCUUGUCUUUGAGACACCCAAGGUCAGGUUGGAUGGGGCUCUGAGCGCCCAGAUCUAACUGUAGGUGUUCCUGUUCACUGUAGGGGAGUUGGAUCAGAUGACCUUAAAAGGUCCCUUCUCAAAAGAUUCAAUGAUUUUACUUCAGCAUGUUCCUCCAGAAUGUGAUUUGGAUGUUUGGAUGCUUGGUGGCCAGCUUCUCUUCUGACUAUCCAAGGAACUCAGUUGAGAUGAAGUGUAGCUCUGGCAUCUCAAUCUACAUGUACACACACAGAAGAAAAAAAAAAAAAAACACAUGAAUUUUGCCCUAAAUCUCAGGUGUGGCAGUCAGAAAAACCAGCUUUGCUGCCAGCUCAUUUUUUCAGGAAGAGAUUCUGUGCUCGGGAGUGGUGGAGGGUGAUGUGCUUACUUGUUUAUUUGUUUUAUUUUUAAACUCACUCGUGUUUUCUGAAUGUUGCCUGUAAUGCUAUGCUACUGGGAGGGAACUGAGUGCCUUUCAUUCCAUGAGAUUUUCAGGUCCGUGAUUAUUUGCUGGUCUCCAGAGAGCAUUUAUUGCAUGUGAUUAUGAUAGGAAAUCCACUCGUGCUACAAAUAUAUUGCUGAUAAAAUAAUUGUGUUCCAUUUUUAAUUUCAUAACAUAUUGGAGGUGUUCAAGGCCAGGUUUAAUGGGGCCCUUGGGCAGCCUGAUCUAGCGCGUAAUUUAGUUGUUGGCAACCCUGCCCACAGCAGGGUCUGGAACUGGAACCGGGUGAUCUUUGAUGUCCCUUCCAAACCAAGCCAUUCUAUGAUCCUAUGAUAUCGCAAAUUUUCACAGGGUUUCUCCAAAUUCCAGUGUUCACUUGCACUGUGGACCAUUGUCUAAGAAUGGCUGCCCCAUGCCUGGGCUCCCCACAUCUCCUGUCCCCUCUCUGGCAAAGCCCUUCUGCCUGGUUGACACUGGGCAGAGGCACCGAGGGCACAAAGCACUCCCAUUCCACCUGCCCUUGCCAGGUUAUUUGGUAGCCACUGGAGGUUCCAACUCUUCUGCCUUCCGCCAUCUGCUUCAUGCAGGCUUUUCUCAUGCUAAUUGCUAACCUAGCUAUUUGCUCGUGACAAAUUAUGUUUCUCCCUGGAGAAAUUAAGUGCUACCAGUCUGAGGUUCCUUCAGAGAGAAACCUGCGCCCUGGCUCAACAGAAAUAAUUGCCUGUUUCCCCACAUGAUGACAAGGAGAUGAGCAAUCUCUGCAGCCUGGCUGUAUCUUCUGUUCCUAACAGCUGGAUUAGAAGCUUUGAGCUCCCAAGCUCUGGAAUAGUUUCUGUCUCUCAGAGAAUACAAAUAAUUGCUGUGAACAUACCACGCUAUCACAGUUGUCAUAUAUUUCUUGGUUGAGUUAUCAGCAAUAACUUAUCUGUUAUCCAUGGUUUAUUGUUUUGGCACCUCUGGGAAACAUCUAUGAAGCACAAUGAAUAUAAAUCAUGUUGCAUUCUGACAGUAUCUAAAGAUUUAUGGAGAAGUUAAGAGAAAACAGAACCACUUCAUAUGUGGAAAGGAUAGGAAAAUUAUUGAUUUCAAAAAAUGCUUAGACUGGUUUCUGUCAGGUAAAAUAAUGUGAGCAUAAUUUUAACUUCAGGUCCAUGGAAUAGUGCCAGUAUCCUGAAAAAAUUAAGGGUUUUUUAAGAAAAGAUUCACUGAAAUCACCGUCGGUAGUGAGGAAUAAUUUUAAUUUCCCAAGUCACGGUUAAACAAAUAGUGAAAGCUUUUGAAAAUCCUGCCUGCAGUUCAUGUUGUUUCAGAUAUGUUAACAGUCGGGACGGAGACUUUGUGUUCAAGGAAAUAUUUUUGGUAUCAGAACAGCAUGAACUGCUAAAACACAGGAUGCCUGAUUACAUCUAUGAAUCUCUUUGACACACAGAACCCAGAGCUGUAAUACCACAUACUGGAGUUUGAGUCUGUCUUGUAAAGACACUCGGUAUUUCUUCCUAGCUCCUGUAAAUAUGCCCCCAUCAAGGUGAUUCCCAGGAUAUGGAAGUGAGUGAUCUCAAUCCUUACAAACUCUAUCCAACCCUCCUGAAUCCUAGGUAAAAUCUUCAGCUACAAAUCAGAUGGAAAAUACCAUGUGGCAGAAGUAGCCACAUCCGUUGCCCCAGGACACGGAGGACAGCUCCUGCCCUUGGCUGCCUGCUCAGCUAACAGCACUGGUCUUGUGACAUCCCGCUCAGAUGGCAGCACAUAUCCGUGUGUUUAAAAAAAUAUGUUAUCUUUACAGCAUUGCUCCAGUAAGAUGACACCCAGAAUACCAGGUACUGAAGAUAAGCAACAGAAGAACUAAAGAUUUGGAGCUGAAUGUGCAUAGAAGUACAUGCAUUCAAGUCCUGGGAUAACAACUUUUCCAAACCUCAUGAGAGCAGCGGUUUGGAGACACAGGACAAAUGCUCUUCCAAAGAGGUGAUGAUCGAUUUUUUGCACAUAAUGUACUGUGCAGUCAGAUCUCUGAACAUCAGUGGCAGGAGGUGCAAAAUCUUUCAUUGCUUUAAUGAGGCAGUCUUAUGAAUAAGGGCAGUCUUAAGCAUAAAACAUCACUUUUUCUACUUCAUGGCAGUUCUGUUUACAAGAUUGUUCCAAUUUUCCCUCCCACUAUUUUACAGAAUUUCAUUUUUAUUUUAUUUUAAAGAAAAAAAGUGUAUUGUAGGAGCUAAUAUUAUUAAUUAUAUUUCCUUACAAUUUAGGAGGUCUGUUUAACAUAUGUCAUUAAAAUAAUGACGCUCAACAAAACAUAUAAUGGUCUUUGUUUUCUGGCACUUUGCAAAUCUGUAUGCAAGUGAAACAAGAAGAUCUUGGAAUAAUUAACUCUUCUUGGGGUCUGAAGUAAAAGUAGCAAACUUCAAGUUAAGGUGGGUCAAGAAAAGAUAGAGAAAGGCUGAGAACACAAUAAUUAAUCUGGGUUAAAUUUAGUUAUUUUAAUGAAUUAGACAAUUUGAAAGAAAGAGUGAAGAGCUGGAGAUUUUCAAAGAAAAAAGACGGUAAUGACAUUAGUCCCAGUGGAGUGACAGGAGAGUUUAACAUUUGUGGAAGAGAGAACUUACAAGGAACAAGUUUUCUGUUGUCUAUAACACAGAUAGAAUUAUGAAUUUUAAUUUCAAGUCACCUUUUGAAGGGGAACAGCACUGAGAGCUCAUAGUCACAUUGUCUGUCUGAUGAAAAACAUUCUCCUACUGGUAACCUGAUUCUUGUGCGCAUUAGUGAAGGUGUGUUCACCCUGGUAUAUACAGUUCACUGAGUUUUGUCCUCAUAGUGCCAGCCACUAUUUGAUAGUUGGAUGGAAAGCAUUGGAUUCAGAAAAAAACCCAGUGAACAGCAGAUGGAGUUAUCCAGCUCUGUUGGCAAGGGGCACUGACAAGAUGGCUGCAGAGUGGUGUUCGCUGGUUUUAGCACUUUCAGAUGUUGUUUGGCAUAUAAAAAUCUAUCAUCUUUUCCUACAGAUCUUGCAUUUCCUAUAUCAUCUGACUGCUAGGACUGUAACAAUACAAGGAAAAAAAAGAAAAGAAGAUAUUUAGUGUUGAAUUUUGAAGAUAAAACCAGAAACUUUAGGUUCUUCUGCCUAGCAGAGGCACAAUGAAUUGUGAUUCCAUUUUUAUUCAGACUUCUUCAGCCUCUGCCAUAGUUGCAUGGAACUGUGGGAGCUUUCUGACUUGCUUUGCAGCUUACAGUGCACUUGCAGACUUUCUCCCCAUGUGCCAUUAGCAUUGUUAUCAAUAGAGGCAGCACAGCUUAGAACUUGCUCAAAGAGGCUGCCAUGCUGGUGGUCAUUAAAGCUCAGAAAGAUGCUUUAGGUGUGAUCCAGUGGGGAAAAACCGCUUAUUGCUCCUUUCUGACCUCCAAAGCCUCUUUGCUGUCUACAUCAGAGCAGUGGUUUUGCCUACCAAAUUCCUUCCAUAAUUUUUAAUUACUUAUGCCUUUACUACAUGGAUUUUUAAGUAAAUUACUUUAAACUGUGCUUUCAAUUCAUUCUAGACCAUCAGCUGAACUAAAAAGAUGAUGGCUUUUGAGAUGCCAUGAGGCUGCUAGAGCUGCCCUCUAGAGAUGUCCAUCUCCUUGUGUGGCCAUAGAGAAGAGUACUUGGAUGUCUCAGUACAAGCCCAAGCAAAGCUGGAUGGCUCUGGCUUAGCAUUAAAGUUGGAGAGGGAGAAAGGAUGGAAGUUGGGUAUUUUUUUAACUUCUUUUACAACAAAACUUCUCCUUCGAGACUCUUGAUUAUGCAGACAGCAUUGUCCUUCCAUAAUUAAAAUAAUUAAUUUCAAAUGGCCACGAAGGUACAACAGAUAGGCAACUAUUCUUUCACUGUCUUUCGCAACGUUGGACUCCCUUCUGGAAAAAAACAAGUGAGUAGGGAGGAAGGGAUGAAAUUUAAGUGGAAUAGGGAUUCUUAAGGCUUUUUAUGUUCAUUGUAACUUGAAUCUCUUCAGAUUAAAUAAAAUAACUAGUAAGGCUGCAAUCUGCCAUUGAAUCUGUUUGCAUAUCACCCUGAAAACUUGCAGCCUUUUCUCAGGCUGUGAAUCAGAUUGCAAAAGCUGAUGUUCAUGUAACUUGAUGUUCUCCAAGCCAAAUGCCAGCCGUGGGUCUGCCUGCCUCAGCUUGCUCUGCUGGAGGGGAUAUUCAUAGCACUGACCCCAGGAGGGACUUGGACAGGAGAUACACCCUGCAGCUGGGGUAUGGCAAUCAGAGAACUUCAUGGCAGGAAAUCCAGUGUUGAUGCCUUAGCCUUCUGAAAGGAGAGAAUGAUUGGGAAAUUCUGGAAUAUCAGGUUUUUCUCUGUGUCUUGCAUUUCCCUCAACUCACGGAAAUGAUCAGAAAGUGGCACAGCAGUGGCUUACCUUCUGGAAUGGGGAGAUUUGUGUCUUCUUGCCCAGAAUCUCACACCCUGGGUGGAGGAAGAGAAGAAAACCCUUCCCAUCUGCACUGAGAGCAUGGGAGCCAAGUUUCUGCCUGGAACGAUCUGAGGGGCUGAUGUACAGUUAUCCAGAAAUACAGCAUUUCAUCAUUUACUUCAAAGGACUACCACGGAAAGAGAGCAAAAGCAAGUAUUUUCUUUGCAUUUUUUUUUCUGUGAUGAGAACUCCCUAUCUAGGUUGCACAUAUGUGUGCUGCAGCCAAUUCCACAAAUAUUUCAGGUUAGAUCUCUCUAGGACCGAAGAUAGGAUGUUUUCAUGUAGCAUCUGUGCAGCAUAAAAUUGCUCCCUCUAGCUAAUAACCAGCACCCAAACAUGCCCAACUAUAAGGUGUGUUUGCUCAACUUGAUGCUCUGCUGUCCUUGGACCCAGUAAGCACUAAACUCUGGUCAUUUUUAGAGUAUCCAUGACAUAUUUUCACAGUUUCCAUCAUCUUUCAGGUAAGCCAGGUAAUGACUUUCCAAAGAAAAUCAUCAUGUACAUGGCACAGCUUUGCAAAGGGCUUCAUUCUGCUAGAGAGAAGAGCUACUGCCCUCGCUACUCUUCCUCCACCAUGUUCCCACAGUUCUCAUGCUUAUUUUAAACUUUCUUUCCCCUCUUUCCCACGUUCUUGUUUCUUUUUGAUAACAUUCAUUUAAUUAUAAAAAAUAUAAAGGGGUCAAAGGGUUGCUUUUGGAAUAAUGGAUGCCUAGGACAGCUGGGGCUUACUCAAGAUGGCAAGUCUUCUCAAGGAUACAGCUCCAAGUAUUCUGUGAGUGCAGAGUAAUAUUACAUCUUCUGCAACUUUGACAUUAACUUCCUGUGAAAUUCUGGUCUGCAAGUACGUGCUCUGCAGCAGUAUGACUGGCACUCCUGCUCCACAUUCAGUGUAUGUCCUUGCAGUUUUUAACAUCAGUGUUGAAGUUAUGUCCAGGAGCUGACUGCAGAGGAAAGCUUAGAACACACAAAUUUAUUUUCACUUUUGCCAACACCACUGAGCCCACAGGGAGCUCAUGUGUUACUGUGCCUUAAGUAAGCUGCUAGCCCAGAAUCACCUGUGAAAGCACUGCACGCAAGCAGUAAGUUGACCAUUACUGCCAACUUACUAACACAAGAAAUGUAACAAGUGUUGUAGAAAUAGAUUUCUAUCAGUCAGAAGUGCUUAAACUCAAUUUCUUUCACGGAUUAGUCUUUGAAUUGUUUGAAACACAGCAAGUUCCUCACACUGCUUGUGGGGAAGAGUAAGCAGCAAGGCUGGCUCAAGCAAGGCCUUGUCUCCAACAAGCGGCAGAUUCACGAACCAGACAGAUUCCCAGCUUUGGUCUCUGCCCGAUGCUUUGCCAUUUUCUCAUCCUUUGCUUUCUCAUUCUUGUUCUCUGUUUGUGUAAAAGGUGCAAUCAGAAAAUAAAGAGAUUACACUUCA